rnacentral:lncRNA from 1 species
GACUCAUGAGCUUACACCACGACUCAUAGGCUUAGUCAUGAUCAAGACAGUAACUUGGGUACACUUUACUGGUCAGGCAAUGAUUGUCACCAUAAAAAUCAUGAAAAGUGAUAACGACUCAUAACGUGAGUUGUUUCUAGGGCAGCAUUCAAUUUUGCAAUAAAAUCUCAGACUCCAAAACAUUGGGGUUACAUAAAUAUUUUCAACUUUAAAAAGAUCUAAAUAUAUUAGUUCAAAAAAAAUUCU